GACACAUCCUCAUCUCGGAUUUCAUACUCGAAGGUGGAUCUAAUCAACGAAGUAGUACUACUAAUCUCUACAAUCUGGAAACGGUAUAAACACCUGACAAAUCCUAGCUCUAAAUUCCCACCUUCGAUCAACUCCACUUCCUUCACACGUUGCUCAUUGUCGAUCUUGAUGAACUUCUCCCUCUGGAAACCUGGACCGGGUGCACCGGGAGCAAGUGUGGCGUAGAGAAUAGUGCCGACUCCACCGUUGCCUUCUUCAACCUUAAUGUCCGCA
rnacentral:misc_RNA from 1 species